UACGUAGGAGACGAGCGUUGUCCGGAGUUACUGGGCGUAAAGGGUGCGCAGGUGGCGGCGCGCGUGGGGGGUGAAAUCGCCCGGCCUUAACUGGGCGGGGGGCCUUCCAGACGGCGUGGCUUGAGCAGCGGAGGGGGACGUGGAAUUCCGGGUGGAGCGGUGAAAUGCGCAGAUAUCAGGAGGAACACCGGUGGCGAAGGCGGGUCUCUGGGCCGUAACUGACGCUGAGGAGCGAAAGCGUGGGGAGCGAACAGG
rnacentral:rRNA from 1 species